CGGCGGACGGGUGAGUAAUGCCUAGGAAUCUGCCUGGUAGUGGGGGACAACGUUUCGAAAGGAACGCUAAUACCGCAUACGUCCUACGGAGAAAGCAGGGACCUUCGGGCCUUGCGCAUCAGAUGAGCCUAGGUCGGAUUAGCUAGUUGGUGAGGUAAUGGCUCACCAAGGCGACGAUCCGUAACUGGUCUGAGAGGAUGAUCAGUCACACUGGAACUGAGACACGGUCCAGACUCCUACGGGAGGCAGCAGCG
rnacentral:rRNA from 1 species